rnacentral:rRNA from 1 species
UGAGGAACAUGACCUUCGGCGGGGGAUAGCCGGCCCAACGGCCGGGUAAUACCGCGUACGACCACAUGGGGACAUCCCUGAGUGGUGAAAGCAGCAAUGCGCCGAUGGAGUGCCUCGCGGCCUAUCAGCUAGUUGGUGAGGUAACGGCUCACCAAGGCGACGACGGGUAGCUGGUCUGAGAGGAUGGCCAGCCACAUUGGGACUGAGACACGGCCCUGACCUCCGUAGGGACGG